AGUGGUACAGGGCUGUGAUAUGGUUUGGAUGUCUGUCCCCUUCAAAUCUCAUGAUGAAAUGCGAUCCCUAAUAUUGGAGGUAGAGCCUGGUGGGACCUGACUGGAUCAUGGGGGCAGAUCCCCAGGAAAGGCUUAGCGCCACAUCGCCUAGAAUGAAAUGGGUCAGCAUCUGACAUACUGCAUAAAUCACUGAACCAAUAUUUUCUAAAUGUAACAUGCAUGAUGGUACAAAAUCACACAUAGAUGAAAAUCAACUGGUCUUUGAAGAACUUUGAUUCAUUAGUGAGCUUGAAAACCCAACACAAUAAACAGAUAGUGGAAGUGGAAGGAGUAUCCCUAAGGAUGCAUUUAAGGAGAAAUGAUGUGACAGAAGAUUUGAAAGCAAAAAAGAAUCUAUCAGGAAGAUAAGAAAGCAAUUAUUAAACAAAAAUUAAGAAGCCAAUCGCCCUCCCAAGUUUCUACCCCUUGGUAACAUUACUGAUUCACACUAGUCAAAAGUGCUGAAUAAUUUGCUACAUGCCAUUGGAAAACUAUAUAACUUACUACUAAUAAAACACCUCACUUCUUUUUA
rnacentral:lncRNA from 1 species